rnacentral:RNase_P_RNA from 1 species
CGAGGCGGCCGGGCGGCCGCGGCGGGCUCCGGCCCGUCGAGGAAAGUCCGGACUCCGCAGAGCACGGUGGUGGCCAACAGCCACCCACGGCGACGUGCGGGACAGUGCCACAGAGAACAGACCGCCAGCGGCCCCGCGACCUUCGGGUCACGGGGUGCGGGUAAGGGUGAAACGGUGAGGUAAGAGCUCACCAGCGACGUCGGCGACGGCGUCGGCUCGGUAAACCCCACCGGGAGCAAGACCAAGAGGGCGCUCCGGCGCCUGCGCUGACGGGCUGCUCGUCCGAUGUCAGCGGGUAGGUCGCUCGAGGCGCGCAGCAAUGCGUGACCCAGAUGGAUGGUCGCCCCCCGGCCCUCGGGCCGGGGACAGAAUCCGGCUUACAGGCCGCCUCGUUCC